rnacentral:rRNA from 1 species
CCAGAGAUGGAGUUUGGUGACCUUCGGGUAACUUACAGUACAGGUGCUGCAUUGGCUGUCGUCAGCUCGUGCCGUGUAGAUGUUGGUUAAGUCCGCAACGAGCGCAACCUUUUCUAUUUGCCAGCGGGUUAAGCCGGGAACUUUAAGGAUACUGCCAGUGACAAACUGGAGGAAGGCGGGGACGACGUCAAGUCAUCAUGGCCCUUACGACCAGGGCUACACACGUGCUACAAUGGUCGGUACAAAGGGUUGCUACCUAGCGAUAGGAUGCUAAUCUCUUAAAGCCAAUCUCAGUUCGGAUUGUAGGCUGCAACUCGCCUACAUGAAGUCGGAAUCGCUAGUAAUCGCGGAUCAGCACGCCGCGGUGAAUACGUUCCCGGGCCUU